CCGCCUCCUGCAGCCGGUACCCUCUGAGACGAGGCAGCUCCUUCACAUUCCUGACUCCAGGCCCACACUGGGAUUUCACCCUGAAGAGGAAGCGCCGAGAGAAGGACGACGACGCCGUCAGCCUG